rnacentral:rRNA from 1 species
AUUGAACGCUAACGGCGUGCUUAACACAUGCAAGUCGAACGGCAGCACAGCAGUAGCAAUACUGUGGGUGGCGAGUGGCGGACGGGUGAGUAAUGCAUAGGAAUCUGCCUUGUAAUGGGGGAUAACCCGGGGAAACUCGGGCUAAUACCGCAUAAUCUUUACGAAGCAAAGUGGGGGACCGUAAGGCCUCACGUUAUAAGAUGAGCUGAUGUUGGAUUAGCUAGUUGGUGGGGUAAAGGCCUACCAAGGCGACGAUCCAUAGCUGGUCUGAGAGGAUGAUCAGCCACACUGGGACUGAGACACGGCCCAGACUCCCACGGGAGGCAGCAGUGGGGAAUAUUGGACAAUGGGGGAAACCCUGAUCCAGCAACGCCGUGUGUGUGAAGAAGGCCUUAGGGUUGUAAAGCACUUUCAGUAGGGAAGAAAAGCUUAAGGGUAAUAUCCUUGAGUAUUGACGUUACCUACAGAAGAAGCACUGGCUAACUCUGUGCCAGCCGCCGCGGUAA